GCCUCCAUUGAAAGUAAUGGGCCUUUUUUAAGAGAACCUUUACUUAACUUUACUUACUGUGUGAAUUCUUGACUCAUACAGAUUCAGAGGAGCAGACAAGGUGGCUGCUGCAGAAGAGGAAGAAGGUUAAGGGAAAUCAAUAAUGAGAAGCUUCAGGUGACUUUUUUUUUUUUGUUAUUCAUUAGGUAUAAUUCCAGGUAUUUUUAUAACAAGUCUUGCUGUUUUCAUUCUUUUUCCCCAUAUACAACAGUCUUUCACUACACUGAAUUUUACAUUGCAGAACAUUGCAUUUCCUUUCUUCAGGAAAUAGCAUGCUUCUGCUGUAGAAGUGUCUUAUCUUUUACCUGUCAGAAAUGCUCCUGAGUUAGCUCCUUUGACCCACAGGGCACUGGAGUAUGUAAAAAUAAUAAUGCAGAGCUGUUGGCUAGCUCUUGCUCACUCUCUGUCAUUUUUAUGUAUCACUUUUUCAAUACAUACUGGGAGUUCAGUGCACCUAUAUAGGAAAGAAGAUCUAGGAAUCAGGAUGAUUCCAGUGCUGUGUACUAGGACAGAAAGUAGUCAUGUUCUUAAUCACUUAAACCAGUGGGAGCAGUCUUGUCUGUUGUGCCUGGAUGCAGCAAGAGCAGAGAAAUGUAGGACACCUGGAAUUACGUGAAUUUGAAUAAAACACUUUUUUUUUUUAUGGUAUUCAUGUUCUUUUUGGUGGAAAGGAAAAUUCCAAAUUUCUUGGGAGUCAAUGGUUAGUGAGAUGGGAUGGUACAGACUGGUUUGGCAGCCUCCUGUCACCUCCAGGGCUGCUUCUGAUCCUUCUGGCCCCCAGCUCUGGUCUUUUCCAGGUAUAGGUGUUAUCACCUCUCAGCCAGUCUGUGUUCUAUCAACUUAACUGAGACAUCUUGGCAAAUGGAUAAUAAAAGGGAUUGAUUAAUUCUGAAGUAGCAAUGAAACACUGCAAAACUUAAUACGUUGCUACAUUUUUUGAAAGCUAAUAUUCUGUUGAAAUGUAGAAAGGAGUCCCUGCUAUUUGCACGUGUUGGCAACUAAUCUGGCUGUAUCAAAAAAUAAAAUUAAAAAAAAAAAAUCCUACAGAGGUAUGCUAACUUCUUUUGAAACGCUAAUAAUAAAGCCAAGAAAAGCAGAGCUCUUCAAUUGCUUAGGAGCAGUUCAAAAACCUGUCAUGGACGAAAUUACAAGCUGAUUGCAAGCUUGCUACAUUUUUCUCAAUACAAACAUAAUUUUACUCUUGUCAACAAACAAAACUUCAUCAAAUCUUAAAAUUGGGAUCUCAUUUAUGUUUGUUUGAUUUUCUUUUUUUUUUUUUUGGUGGUGUUAUUCUUUUAAAAUGCAUAAUUCUCUUGGUAUGAGUGUGACAGAAGACUUAUUUUCAUGAGGAAGAGGAAAAUCUAAGGUUUUGGGAUAAGGCCUUGUGAACAAACAAAAGAAUUCUACUGGGAAAGGUCAUGGUGUUCAGACAUAGGAGAACAGUUUUUUGUUGCCUUAAAUUGUGUCAGCAGCCACUGUGGUGGCUUCAAAGUUAGUGCAAGGCAAUUUAAAGAAGUACAUCAUGUCAUUAUGAACAAUUCAACCUUAGUUUCCCUUCAGAGACGUUCUUCGAACUGUGCACAGCAUAAAGCAGCAGUACAGGUAUUCUCCUGGAUAGCUGGUGGUCUUGCAUGCCUAUUGUUCCACUGACUCUUAAAGUCAUGCUGGUAAAAGUCAUGCUUUUUCAACUUUUUGUGAAAAAGAGUUAAAAAUUAAACUGAGUGCAUGAAUUUUAUGCACAUGGUACGUGCAUGAAUCCAGCUCUGUAGGUAGUAACCUAAGAUGUCUACUGUUAGCUACAUUAUAAACUACUUCUAUGGCAGGAGGGAGAAGUAUCCGAACAACUUUCUAGAAUAGACUGAUAGCAUUUGUAAUAGCUCAGACUAUCCAAUCUCUAGCACUGUCAGGAGCUUGGAGGAAAAAAAAAAAAAAAGUAUGAAUAUGCCUGUGGUGUUAUGCUAUCAGUAUAUUUUAAAACAACAGAAAGCAAAACACACACUCUUCCAGGAUACAUGUGGGCUAAGUAUGUUAUGCAGUUUGGGGUUUUUUAAGGGAGCAAAAAAUACUCAUUACCCUGUUCUAUUCUUUUCAUGAACUUCCUGUUUAUGUUAACCCUUUUAAUUCAAUUUCUUCUGGUCUUUCUAGCUUAAGAUGCACUGAUCAAUGAAUAUUUUUCUUCAAGCAACUGUUACAUUUGCUAAAUGGAAUGAAGAAUUUUAGAAGUCCAAAAAGAACAAUUUUAAAAGUACAAAAAAAAAAUCAUUUACCUUAUAAUGAGUGACAACCUAAAAGGAUAGGCUCAAAUAACACCUUCGUACCUGAAGUAUGCUGGAGUCAGAUUUGGCUGGCUGAUUUGACUUCUACACUUUGAAGUAGGGUUGAGUUGGAAGCAGAAGCAAUAGAUAUUUGCUGUGUCCUAUGGAUGUGAAACUUAAGGUGUUUUUUUUUUUUAAGAACCUGUACUUUGACCCAACUGAAGUGCUGAAAGGUUGAAAACUGGCAGUUGUUCCCUAGAAACUUCAUUCAUUAAUUGUCUUUGUGAUCUGAAGAUAGAAAGUUAAAGCCCACAGAAUGCGUAGUUUGUAUCUUUCACUAAUGAACUGUAGUCACAGUAACGCUUUUUAUGCUUGCUUUUAUCAAUCUGUCUAAUAUAUUCUGUUCCCAUGUGCACCGAUAGGUAGAAUGAUGUCCAGGGCAAUGGAGCAGACUCACAAUUACCCAUUCUCUGGCUUCACACAAAGGCUAGACCUUUCAGAGACUUCUUUGGUCGUGUUAACAUCUGUUAGUGUAUAUUAAAUAAGCUAUGCAUCAGUCGUGAUCAUUCCCUGACAAGAUUCAGUGCAACUUCUUGUAGGAAGGAGCUACUACAUAAUGCAGUACACGAAAAGGGAAAAUUGUGAUAUCUGGGGAAUCUCAGAAGAUGCGGGCAAAAUUUGGCUUUCUGCUAAAAAUUACAAGCGUUAAGCAAUAGAAAUGUGAAAGGUUGAGUAGGCUGAGAUAUAUGUUGCAGUGUGUGAAGCUGACUGAAUAUAGCUAGAACAUAGGAAAUGCCCUGCUGAGUCAAACUACUGAGAUCAGAAAUGCAUGCAACACCCAAGCUAUGGAUGUGCCACAGUUUGCAGAACUGCAGCAGAAUGAUGUCCACUGCUUUGCUCUCAGUACCCUUCUGGUGUUGACAGGCAUUUUGUAGGCUGCCAGUGCACAAUGCACCAGUGAUUUCGGGGAACUGCUUAUGAUCUUAUUUGUGAUACACUGUGUAGAAAAGGUUGUCAAAAGUAAAUUCUUUUGUUGAGCAAAUAGCUUGUAUUUCACCAAUUCAUGUUAUUUUAAAGGCAUACAGUCCUGUUUUGGAGACACGAAGUUGAAGAAUCCACCACCUCUUUGAUAUUUAACCAAACAGUUAAAUCUCCCGAAAGCUUUAAAAACAGGUCUAUAUUUUUACAUACAUUUCUUUGUCACAAGUCUCCAAAUUUGAGUUCUCAUUCUCUCUGUUAAUCUAUUUGUAAGUGCUAUAUCAUAUAUACGUGAAGUUUUAGUUCCAAAAGCUAAUAGCAGUAUUUUGGUGGUUCUGCCAGUUGCUACAGUCAGAGGUAGACUGACUGGCCAGGUCUCCUAACUGCAAUGCAGAAAUGGCAGCCAGCACUUACUGAGUCCACAUAUUGCCAGCUCCUGCGUCCCUACCCAUCUGAAGUAUAGGUCUCUUGGAAUUUGCCCAGCUGAUUCUAGAAAGUCUCCUCCUCUCUCUGCAAAGAUCCUUGCCUUUGGAAAAUCAUGAUGUGAGUAAGCAUGGGUGUCAUUUUCCAGGUUUUUCCCCCUAGGGUCAUGUCAGGCUGCGUCUUACUGCUCUUCUGUCUUCCUUUUGUGUGACUCCAGCCUUCUCGUGGGCUGUCACUGGCAUUCCCCAAGCUAAUCAGAGGGAUGUGAUGAGACUGAAGGUGACAAUCCUUUGUUUUAGGACUACUAUGUACAAAACUUUAAGACUUCCCUCCAGUUAUUAACAUUAAUGGGGGGAAAAAAAAGCCAAAACGAUUUGCUCCAGUUUUCUUCUUUUCAAACACAGAAUAAUAUUUGCUGAGAACACACCACGUUUGUCCUUCCUGUACCAAAGAACAAGUGAGGCUGCUGGCAUUUUGCCAUGGUUUCAUCCCCAGAAGCUGUUAAUCCGCGUGGAUUCCUCUGAUGUAUUUAGUUUUCCAUACCCACUUGUUGUAAUGCUCACAGCACGGAGCAUUCUCCAUGUACGUUUUACACUUAAGCUACUGCUUCGGUAACUCAGAAAUUAUAUGUGGUUUUUAACUCCCUCUAGUGGUGUAACGCUGCAGUUUGCAAGUUGUUUACCUGCUAAUGCAGUAGCAAAGACUGAGUUUGAAUGCAGUCUGACACUAGAUCCUUAACGUUUAACUGUCGUUGUUUUUCCAGAUGUAUUUAAAUAGCAAUGUGGAAAAUAAUGAUACUUAUUAAUAAUAUGCAUAUUUUUUAUUACUUGUGAAUAGCUGGGACACACUGCAAAACGAAUUACCAGAAAUUCAAAGCUUUUCUUCCAUGUAAUAAUAACAUACGUUUAAAAGGGUUGAAUUUAGGAACUGAAGAAAGGCUGUAAAGCCAACUGCUGCACUAUGCUUGCUACAUCAGUAAUGCUAAUGCCAAAAGCACAUGAUCUUCGUCUUCGCUUAAAGUGGGUGCAGAAGCGCCAUUUGAAACACCAAUUAUAUGAAGACAGUCAUUCCUGUAGAGAUGGAAAUUGAUCUUGGAACAAAACCUAAGUGUGAUUUGAGCCAGUAAUGUAAUGAAAUCGAGCAACUUCACAGUAAUACUAAUGAGCUGCUCCUUUGGCUUUCCUAGCUGAAGAGAUUUUAUUCAGAUUCACAAAGAGCUUCAUGUUUACUGAAAUACAGUCUCCCAGUUCCCUAGGAUGUAAUAUGUAUCUUACUUUUACUUCAAUAAAUAGCUUAAAAUAGUACGAGGUGUAUAUUCUGUGCUGGAUGGAACCAAAUUAACUGAAAAGCAGUGAGAUAACAGAAGUUUAACAAGGUUAGCUUUUUUUCUAAAACCACAUUUAUUCCAUUCAAUGUACUUCUAUUCUGGCCACUUCUUGCAUAAAUGAGUCAAAAGAAUAGGAAAACAUCUUUACGUUUAAACCCAUGUUUAGAGCUUACCUGGCCUUUCCCUGAACUUGGAAGUGGCUAAAGCAUGCCUCUUAAAUCCUUAGACCUUUCAAGAAGGCUGGAAAGUUUCGUAUUGGCACAAUAGAUGUGAGAAAAAGCUAACUUUGUUCCCAUUUUGCUUCAUGUUAGUCACUAAGUGUUUAGAAUAGCAACUUUACUGGCAGUGUAGUGGUGUAACCCUAAUAAUACAUUUGUGGAACAAGUAAUUAAACUUGGAUAGAGAUGCAUCUAUUAAGCCUUGCAAUAGUGAAGUACUUUUUUCUUUCUUUUUUUUUUUUUUAAGCCAUGUUUCUCAUGGUUCUUUGUGUGAAUUUAUGUUUGUGAUGCAGAGGAUAUUUUAUAACAAAUGUUAUGACAGGUUUAAAAUACAGUAUGAACCAUUUGUCUAAACAGUGCGAUUUUUAAAAUACAGUGCUUAUUAAAUUAUAUUGUUGCCCUCUCAUUGCAAGAUCUGAUUCCCAUUUAGAAUGAAUGGCCGUGGAAAGGAGAUGUUCUGGAGUCUGACUUCUUAUCUUUUGUAGCACUAAUUAGUCGUUAAGCUUCAGAUUCCGCCUAUCAGUGCCAAUGACUGCUGCACUGUUUUUCAUUACAUACUAAAAAUAAGAAUCAACUGAUUUCAUAUAAUUGUGAAAAAUAAAUAUAUCUGAGUGUUAAGGCAUGCUUUCUUUUUCAGGUAUCAAUUAUAUACAAUAUAUCAAAUAUAUAAUUGAAAAAUGCAUUAUGUAAGAAAUCUGAAAGCAAUGAGCUAUGAAAUCAAAAGUUAUUGUGGAGUGGGAAAAAACGUGUCCUGGAUUUCUGGGUUUUCCUGAAUCUGUGUAUGAAUUUAACUUUCAAACAGCAUUAAGGGCUUUAUGGUUUACAAACUUAUGUACAUUCACAGAUGUAAUUAUUUUAUCUUUAAGAAAAUAAACUCAUAUAAAAAGCCUUGAAAUGUUGGAAUAUUUUGUUACAGUGUAUUUCACUUUGUAUAUGUGACUGCAUUCCUUGCUAUGAUGAGUAGUGGAAGGCAAGUUGCAUGUGUUCAUGGACAUAGUCAAACUGUUGGUUUUGAGGAUGCUGUUAAUUCUUACUUUAGUAACCUUUAAAUUGCAGUUUGAUACUCCCAAAAAGGAACCAGGUGUCACUAUGAAAUAUUUUCUCUGACAGUUUUCGUAUGGACUUUACUAAAUUUCAUAGAGAUGACUGGCUGCAGUAGGCAUGGAGAACUGCAGUUAGCAUAACACUAAUAGUGAAACUAGGUAGCUGGAGGAAAAAAUGG
ensembl:lncRNA